GUUCUUGCGGCCGAACGACGACCCUUGGUGGCUAGGGCACGGUGAGGAACAAGGUUCGUGUCAUCUCCCAACCUACCGACUCCCUCGUCCAUCUUCCUCUAGUUAUUCAUGGAGCGAUCUGCGUCUUCUCUAGCCGAAUCAGACAGUGAUGCCAUCGGGAGGUGAUCUAGAGAGAUUGGUCCUCCUCUUCUUGCGGCUGAGUGGGGAAUUCGGUUGAAGAGGUUGAGACCAGUGAGUGGUGCUUGGGCUGUAGGGCAGAGACUUCAGGUGUUGAUGCUUGAUCAGUAGUCUUCCUGCUUGAUUCCACUGUGAUCCAAUUGAUUUCCAGUGAGGUUGAGUGUCCUGUGGAUCUGGAAUUGUGGUUCCGGCAGCACCUAAACCAGUAGCUCCUUUGGUUUCAACAAUCAACAGCGGUUGCUAAUUGAGGAUCCUGUCUGGUCCAGCAGAUCACUUUGUUUUCCAACAGCUCAAUUGAGUGAGGUUCUGUUGCUGUGAUGCUGGAGUUGUGAUCUUUGAGGUGUAUCCAGCAGCUUUCCCUAACCGACAGCAACACCUUUGAUUGUGAUCUACUGGUGAUCACCUUAGAUUUGAGGACGCUGAUUCGAGACGGGCGUCUCGACUUCGGAUUUGGAUUGACUGUACCUUCUAUUGGAG